rnacentral:misc_RNA from 1 species
GAUGAAGAACGUAGCGAAAUGCGAUAAGUAAUGUGAAUUGCAGAAUUCAGUGAAUCAUCGAAUCUUUGAACGCACAUUGCGCCCGCCAGUAUUCUGGCGGGCAUGCCUGUUCGAGCGUCAUUACAACCCUCAGGCCCCCUGGCCUGGCGUUGGGGAUCGGCGGAGCCCCCCGUGGGCACACGCCGUCCCCCAAAUGCAGUGGCGGUCCCGCCGCAGCUUCCAUCGCGUAGUAGCUAACACCUCGCGACUGGAGAGCGGCGCGGCCACGCCGUAAAACACCCAACUCUUCUGAAGUUGACCUCGAAUCAGGUAGGAAUACCCGCUGAACUUAAGCAUAUCAAUAAGCGAGGA